ensembl:snoRNA
CUUGAGGUCUAACAAUGAGGCUUCUCCUAUGGCUGUACAGCAUUGGAAUUGCCACAUAGAGUAACAAUGGUUUUGUUUCAUCCACAGGUCUGUUUCUUAGUACUGUGAUAGAAGUCUACAAGAAGGCA